rnacentral:rRNA from 1 species
GACGAACGCUGGCGGCGUGCUUAACACAUGCAAGUCGAGCGGGGACAUAGUUGGAAGUUCUUCGGAAUGGAAGGCUGUGUUCUAGCGGCGGACGGGUGAGUAACGCGUGAGCAAUCUGUCCCAGGCAGGGGGAUAACACUUGGAAACAGGUGCUAAUACCGCAUAAGACCACGAGAGGGCAUCCUCUUGAGGUAAAAGGAGCAAUCCGGUUUGGGGUGAGCUCGCGUCCCAUUAGCUAGUUGGUGAGGUAACGGCCCACCAAGGCGACGAUGGGUAGCCGACCUGAGAGGGUGAUCGGGCCACAUUGGGAACUGAGACACGGUCCAGACUCCUACGGGAGCAGCAGUGGGGAAUAUUGGGCAAUGGGCGGAAGCCUGACCCAGCAACGCCGCGUGAAGGAAGAA